ACCACCCGGGAUUGCCUUAGUAACGGCGAGUGAAGCGGCAAAAGCUCAAAUUUGAAAUCUGGUACCUUCGGUGCCCGAGUUGUAAUUUGGAGAGGGCAACUUUGGGGCCGUUCCUUGUCUAUGUUCCUUGGAACAGGACGUCAUAGAGGGUGAGAAUCCCGUGUGGCGAGGAGUGCGGUUCUUUGUAAAGUGCCUUCGAAGAGUCGAGUUGUUUGGGAAUGCAGCUCUAAGUGGGUGGUAAAUUCCAUCUAAAGCUAAAUAUUGGCGAGAGACCGAUAGCGAACAAGUACAGUGAUGGAAAGAUGAAAAGAACUUUGAAAAGAGAGUGAAAAAGUACGUGAAAUUGUUGAAAGGGAAGGGCAUUUGAUCAGACAUGGUGUUUUGUGCCCUCUGCUCCUUGUGGGUAGGGGAAUCUCGCAUUUCACUGGGCCAGCAUCAGUUUUGGUGGCAGGAUAAAUCCAUAGGAAUGUAGCUUGCCUCGGUAAGUAUUAUAGCCUGUGGGAAUACUGCCAGCUGGGACUGAGGACUGCGACGUAAGUCAAGGAUGCUGGCAUAAUGGUUAUAUGCCGCCCGUCUUGACAACGGGACCA
rnacentral:rRNA from 1 species